UACAGAGGUGGCAAGCGUUGUUCGGAAUUACUGGGCGUAAAGGGCGCGUAGGCGGUUCGAUAAGUCCCGUGUGAAAUCCCUCGGCUCAACUGAGGAAUGGCACGGGAAACUGACGGGCUUGAGUUCGGGAGAGGGAAGCGGAAUUCCGGGUGUAGCGGUGAAAUGCGUAGAGAUCAGGAAGAACACCGGUGGCGAAAGCGUUCUGCUAGACCUGUACUGACACUGAGGGACGAAAGCUAGGGGAGCGAAUGGG
rnacentral:rRNA from 1 species